CGUAAAGCGCAUGCAGGCGGCCUGUUAAGUCAGAUGUGAAAGACCCGGGGCGUUAACCUCGGAAAUUGCAUUUGAAACUGGCAGGCUAGAGUCUUGUAGAGGGGGGUAGGAAGUUUCAGGUGUAGCGGUGAAAUGCGUAGAGAUCUGAAGGAAUACCAGUGGCGAAGGCGGCCCCCUGGACAAAGACUGACGCUCAGAUGCGAAAGCGUGGGGAGCAAACAGGAUUAGAUACCCUGGUAG
rnacentral:rRNA from 1 species